rnacentral:rRNA from 1 species
UGAUCCUGGCUCAGAUUGAACGCUGGCGGCAGGCCUAACACAUGCAAGUCGAGCGGAAACGAGUUAUCUGAACCUUCGGGGAACGAUAACGGCGUCGAGCGGCGGACGGGUGAGUAAUGCCUAGGAAAUUGCCCUGNUGUGGGGGAUAACCAUUGGAAACGAUGGCUAAUACCGCAUAAUACCUUCGGGUCAAAGAGGGGGACCUUCGGGCCUCUCGCGUCAGGAUAUGCCUAGGUGGGAUUAGCUAGUUGGUGAGGUAAUGGCUCACCAAGGCGACGAUCCCUAGCUGGUCUGAGAGGAUGAUCAGCCACACUGGAACUGAGACACGGUCCAGACUCCUACGGGAGGCAGCAGUGGGGAAUAUUGCACAAUGGGCGCAAGCCUGAUGCAGCCAUGCCGCGUGUGUGAAGAAGGCCUUCGGGUUGUAAAGCACUUUCAGUCGUGAGGAAGGUAGUGUAGUUAAUAGCUGCAUUAUUUGACGUUAGCGACAGAAGAAGCACCG